AGAGUUUGAUCCUGGCUCAGAAUAAACGCUGGCGGCGUGCUUAACACAUGCAAGUCGCACGAGAAAGCUUCAGCUUGCUGAAGCAAGUAAAGUGGCGCACGGGUGAGUAACGCGUGGGUAAUCUACCCCCGAAUUGGGGAUAACAUUGCGAAAGUGAUGCUAAUACCGAAUGAUAUCCUGAAAUCUUAUGUUUUCCGGAUCAAAGAUGGCCUCUACAUGUAAGCUAUUGUUUGGGGAUGAGCUCGCGUACCAUUAGCUUGUUGGUUGGGUAAUGGCCUACCAAGGCAACGAUGGUUAGCUGGUCUGAGAGGAUGAUCAGCCACACUGGAACUGACACACGGUCCAGACUCCUACGGGAGGCAGCAGUGAGGAAUUUUGCGCAAUGGGGGAAACCCUGACGCAGCAACGCCGCGUGAGUGAUGAAGGCUUUCGGGUCGUAAAGCUCUGUCAAGUGGGAAGAAUCCAUAUGGUGUUAAUAUCACCAUAUGCUGACGGUACCACUGAAGGAAGCACCGGCUAACUCCGUGCCAGCAGCCGCGGUAAUACGGGGGGUGCAAGCGUUAUUCGGAAUUACUGGGCGUAAAGAGCGCGUAGGCGGUCUUUUAAGUCAGGUGUGAAAGCCCGGGGCUCAACCCCGGAAGUGCACUUGAAACUAAGAGACUUGAGUAUGGGAGAGGGAAGUGGAAUUCCUGGUGUAGCGGUGAAAUGCGUAGAUAUCAGGAGGAACAUCGGUGGCGAAGGCGACUUC
rnacentral:rRNA from 1 species